UCCGAUAUGGUGUAGUGGCCAACAUGAUGCCCUCUCAUCUCUGACGCGAGGUUAGGCAUAGCCCCGAGUUCGAUUCUCGGUUUCGGAA